UUUUGUUGUGCAUAGCAUAGCUACCGCAAAAGUGAGUAGUCUUGGGAAUGCUCCCUUAUAACAGGGGAAGAGGAAAGACUCAGAAAUAAAUAUUGUGAUAAUAUGUUUGUGGAUUUGAGCAUAUGGAGAACGAAGCAAAAAAUAACAAUAAAAAUCUUGCAAAUUCAUGCUCUUGUUAUCGUCGCUAAAAUCACGGUUACACCUACACGAUAUUAGCACAGAAUAGAAAAUAUAAAAGGAAUUUGUAGAACAUCCCAAUGCAGUCAAGUAAAAUAGGUUACCACCUACACGAUUGAUUUUAUGUCAUGAAGCUCUAGAAUUUUUCUAUGAAGCACAGGAUUCUAUCGAAGAGCACAAGUGAAAUGGGAAAAAAUAGGUACUUGCAGUACUGCUUCUCUACCACUUUUAUUUUCGUAGUGUUCAACCCUAAAACACUAAAAUCAUGGAUAUAAACUACUUACUAUAGACAAGAAUAAAAUUUGCAAACAUUCUAGGUUGGUACAAAAACGAUCCUAAUGCAGUAUUGGAAUAGGGUACCUCCUUUACGACUGAUGUGGUCUCACGGAGUAGGAUCCUCGGGCACCAAAAUCAAAUAGAAACAGGUUACUUGAGCCUAUAUAGAAAGAUAGAGACAUCACUAAUGAUGAAUACAAUAACUCUCAACUCGGAACAAUUAAACCAGUUUCCAGGUGAACAUUAAGUGAUCAGUUUAAGGAUCUUGCAUGGAAAAUCUAACUGCUACUGCAGUUUAACAUCUAGGAAAAUCUAACUGCUAUUUUAGUUUAACAUCUAGGACAAUGAGAUUCCUUGCAUCUUGAUGUUGCUAGCUGCUAAGUGCUUGUUAUUUCAGUUUAACAUAUUGAAAGAACCAGCAAAGAUCAUGAGAUCCCAAAUUAGGUAAAAAUGGAACAUAUGAAUAAGAGUAACUUGACACAUCUCAGCCAAAAAAUUAAAACCCUAAUAAAUCUACUUUGAUCUAGAACCGAGUGAUGUCUAGUUGCAGUCCCCAACGAGAUUAAUCUCUGACCCCUGAUACUUUUAUAUUUCUAGAGAGAUUGGUAUUCUGUUUCAUAUAUGAACCAUCAUGAUUUUCAAUUAACAGACAUCUCUCAUAGACUUGUACCAUGAACCAUAAAUGAAAGAGGCGGACAUCGUUCUACCCCUCACGUGCUACAAACCACAUCCAUGUUAACCAAAUGGUGUUACAACUUGCAAGGUUAAUUUCCCGUUUCCAUAGAAAGACACUAAAUUAAGUAUUAACUGGAAACUACAAGCACAUAUAGGAAGUUACUCUUAUUAGAUCAGUUACAUUCAUCUGCUUGUUUUCCAUGUGUGAAAUAUCUAGUGCCCCAAUGUGACUUUAUAUGUCUAAGAAUGUAAGAAGUAUAUUAAUUUUGAAAUACACUAACAAUAGUCAUAACUGAAAACACAGAAAACACACUGCUAGACACACAAAAUAGGAAGCCAAGUACGUACACAAGAACUAUGUAGAGUCUUGACAAAGUGGUUUUGUCAUGUAAUCAGUAUUUAGCAAUUAUUUUUGUACACAGAAUAGGAAGGCACCAAUUUGAACACACAAGAUUCUGAUCUGGAAUAGCUGGAAGCCUGCAGACCAUAGAUAUGACAAAUAAAAUCCACACAAAAAUUCUAGAUGUAAGUUGUAUCAUUUUUAGGCAAAACAUAUGAAACAAUCAAGGCAAUGGUCUGAAAGGUGUAGUUUCUAUGCUAUUAUUGAAAGGUCAGAGGAAUCAUUGUUAUUUGGUAUUUUCUAAGAUGGAUUCAUUUAUAUUUUUUUAUAAUGAAUUCAUAUACGCUACAUAGUAUUGGUUUCUUUUAGUUUUGGGUAUUUUUUAUUAUGAAUUCCUAGUGAGACUUUCUUGUGCAUUGGCUUACUAUGUUAGCUCUUUCUACUCUUUCGCGCUCAAUAAAAGAUUGUACAUAAUAGUAUGAUAGGGAUUGGCGAUUGAUGACAGUACAAGAUUUUAUUGUUUUGCAAAAAAACUAAAGUGAUUGACCACCAUCUUAACCCAGUUUCCAGGUGAACAUUAAAUGAGGCUCACCUCCUUGGAGGAGACUGAAGAUGAAGCUCAAACUUUUUACCUUUAUCAGUGGGAGUUUCCUGCAACUGUUAAAUUAGAAAGAGUGAGUUGUAUGUAAACAUAUGUAAGAGUCUACCUAAAUGACAUGAUGUUGGUUCUAGCUAAGAUAUGUGCACUAAGAUAUGAAACCUUAUAGUUCUAAUGUUAGUCAUGUACUAUCUAAUAGUGUAAUGAUAUGUUCAGCUAGGGAUUUAGGAAUUUUGCAAAGGAUUGUAAAAAGAACAAAUAAUUGAAUAAAAGGAUGCAUUAACUUUGUGACAAAAAACAAUCCCUUCUCUCACAACAAGUAUUCUUCCACCAGUUUGAGUGAAGCGACUUCGCGACAAGUUGGGCUAUAGUUCUAUCAAACGAAAUAACCAAGGGAAACACUAACAUGUUAAUGUCAAGUGGGAUCUGCACCUUAGGUGUGCUAAGGAUAAAUAGAAACUGAAAUGAACGACAAGCAUGCUUUGCUAUUUCUGAUUUGCAUAUCAUUAUGUAAGGAGAUAUGUAACAAAUAUAUAGAACACCCAUAAAUAGAAACUAAAAUGAACACACCAAUUCAAUGAAAAAAGGUUUCUUAGUAUGAAAACAUGCCACCAACUAAAUUUUUUAAAAAUAAAUAGAAUUGACUGGACUGUACUACCAUCAUUAUUUCCAUGUGACUAGUGCACUCAGCGUGAUAAUCUCAUUAGUUAUUGGCAAUGUCAAUCAUCAGACCUAGAAAAGCACACUAAGAUAACAAUUUUUCAUAUGACCAUGAUCAUGUUGCAGACGAAAUCAAGUGCUAAAAUUGUGGAUCCACAUGAUGUAACAAAAGAAGGGCUACAAAUUUCAUAUAAGCCAAAAUUUGAACUCGCAUUGGUGCAUUUUAGUUGUUAUAAAAUGAGACUUAUUGUAAAAAGGGACAAUGUUGACGCACCUUAUGAGUUGAGCAGAUCUUCGGCAAAUGGAAUGACAGGGAAGAUGCGUUGAGAGUGGGGGUGGGUUGAGAAAAACUGGUCCAUCCUUUUAAUAGGAGUCACAACGAUACCCAUGGGGAAGAUGUUGGGUGGAAGGUUGGGCCGAAUUAGGAAUGCGCGCAUGGAUGGGGGUGCGGAUAGGGGCAUGGUGCAUGCGCAAGUUACCUACUAUGGAAGGGGGCCGCCUACUAUGGAAGCUCCACCUGUGGCACACUAACGAUGUGUAAGGAUUGAAGGUCGCCUCCAUCUAUGGAAGGAGACGCUGAGGUUGGAAGGAGGCGUGCUUCGGAGGCUGGGUCCAU
rnacentral:lncRNA from 1 species